CCGGACUCUCUGUCCUCGUAGGCCAAGACUUAGACUUGGCGGACGCCCUCGAUGACAGGGAGAAGGCCACGCCACCACCCAAGAGACCCAGCGCUGAUGAUGACGGGUUCAGUCUGGAAGAUGCCCUCGGCGGGGAAGGACACAAUGACCCAGUACCACCGAAUCCACCCAAACCUAAGCCUUACCCAAACCCCAACCAGCCGGGAUCUUCUGGUGGCUUUUCAGAUUCCGAUCUCGUUGAUGGAGCUUCAAAUGGAGGAGGCGGUGGUGGAGGCGGCGCUGGCGGAGGAAGCCAAAAUCAUGACGGCGGAAGCCAAAAUCAUGACGGCGGGGAGCAGGGUACGUACACGUGGUUUCUGAUGUCUUGGGUUUCUUGUAGGCACUGUUGAGAAAAAGUGGAACGCAGUGGUCAAGACCAAACGUGUUGUUUUGGCUCUGUUGUCCUAAACAUGAUGGCGGACAAUGUCCAAGUGUGGUUGCUUUUCCCCAUGCACAUCCCAAGCGCUCUGCUGAACUAGGUCAUUGACGUUCUUGAGUAGGCUCAGCGAGGGGGUUCUGAUGACACCCACACGUUAGGUUCACUCACCUGCCCACGGUGCCCUAAGAACCCUAACCCUAACCCAUCUGUAUUACCUGCGGUUCCCCAGAGAAACAGAACCAUUGAGAUCUAUCUAGAUAGAGAUGUAGGUAUAGAUCUGUGGAAAGAGACUGAUUGUAAGGAAUUGUCCCCCAUGAUGGUGGACGCUGAGAAGUUCUGUGAUCUGCUGACUGCAAGCUGGGCAAUCAGGAGAAGCUCAGGUGUGGUUCAGUCCCACUCCAGAGGACUGGGAACCAAGAAAGCUGGGAGGGCAAGUCCAGUCCUGAGUCUCAAAUCCCAAGAAGUAGGACUGCCCAUGCACAAAGGGCAGAAGAAGAAGAUUGCCCCAUUUGUGAGCUCUGUUCCGUGCAGGCCCUCUACGGGUGGAUUGAUGCCCAUCCUCACUGGUGAAGGCCACCUGCUUCACAUAGUCUGUAGAUACAGACAUUAAUCUUUUGCAAGAACAUCCAUAUGGACAUACCCAGAGGGAACGUUUUUCCAGUCAUCUGGGCACCCCAGGCCCAGUCAAGUGGACACAAUUACCCAUCACACCAUCCUUGACUGACUCACGGAGUGGGAUGUCCUGUGCUGCCACCAUACUUAGAAAUAGCUUAGCUGUCCGCAUGGCAGAGAUACACGUGGUGUGACAGUUAACUGAU
rnacentral:lncRNA from 1 species